ensembl:lncRNA
GGGAGAAACCGUCGUCCAGAUAAGCGUCUGGAAAAUGCAUAUUAGAAACUGAAAAGCUCUCUUAAUUAACACACAUGACUAUUCGUGGUAGAAGAUUUUUAAAUACAAAUAACUGUAGACCAUGCGUUUCUCAUAACCAAAAUUAAUUUUCAAUCCUACACUGUUUGAAGAAAUGGAGUCAUACUGCACACGAGCUAUGGAUGGAAAAGAAUUGUGUUGAAACACAGGAACACGCGCUGUGGGUGUCUGAUUGGAAUCUGUCCGCAUUUACUCAGACGUCUGCCCAUGAGGCCUUUCUGAAGUCUCCUCCGCUCCCCGGCUGAAAGGAACGGAUGUUGGAUUUAACUGCCUCCUCCAGGAGACUGCUCCGAGCCCCGCCUCCCCCACGCCCAACUGUUCAAGGCCAGCUGAAAAGUGAAAGUGUUAAUCACUCUUUGCCACUCCACAGACUGUAGCCCGCCAGGCUCUCUAGCCCAUGGGAUUCUCCAGAAUACUGGAGUGGAUAGCCAUACCCACCGCCAGGGGAUUUUCCCAACUGCUACCACAUAUCUAUUGGAAAUACUCACUUUUAAAGCCCAACCUCCACUUUCCCUAUAGCUUUUCUUUACUGUCACCUACUCCAUAUUUCCCAGCUUUUCAAUUCUCUGAGAACCAACGUGCCUGGUUUCGUUCCUGGGUAGGGGACCUGCAUGGGAGUCCUCACACAGGCAUCUCCCGUGCCCACGAGGGUUGUGCAGUGUUGAGCUUGGUCUGACACUCCCUUCAGAUUCCUACAGCAUCACCCCUCUUCAGCAGACUGGUGGGAUCACUCCUGAGUGCAUCGAGAGCGUACACUCAGCAUUUUUAAAAAGCAG